rnacentral:rRNA from 1 species
UACGGAGGGGGCAAGCGUUGUCCGGAAUUAUUGGGCGUAAAGCGCGCGCAGGCGGCUUUGUAAGUUUGGUGGUUAAUCUCAGAGCUCAACUCUGAUUCGCAUCGAAAACUGCAAGGCUUGAGUACAGAAGAGGAAAGUGGAAUUCCACGUGUAGCGGUGAAAUGCGUAGAGAUGUGGAGGAACACCAGUGGCGAAGGCGACUUUCUGGGCUGUAACUGACGCUGAGGCGCGAAAGCGUGGGGAGCAAACAGG